rnacentral:lncRNA from 1 species
GAAACAUGAAGGAGGGAGAGAGGUGGCUCAGGAUUACAAAAGAGAAGGCUUCGUUGAUCAUCCUCCUGGCAAGGAAACCAAUUUAACAACUAUCUACACAAGAGAAGCACCUUCAUAAUAACCCAAAAUCAGGAUUCUACUUACAAGAUAUAAAAUACGACCUCCUCAAAGAUGACUGUAGUAAGGCUAUAAAAUACACUAAGCGUACAAAGAAUUUUUAAUAAGAAGAUGACUGUUCCUUAUUAGUGCUUUUGCUCUAGCCAUGGAACUCAUCUGCGUAAGUAAAGUCAUGUUGUUUAUAACAAGGUUUGGUUGUUCCCAUAAUGUCUGACUAGUCUGCAAGUUCAGAAACUUAUAAAUAAUAAUUUCAUAGUGGUGCACUUUUAUAGAAACUUUGAAUUUGGAAUUAGAAACUACAUCUAAUCCCAUUAAAUGCCUUGAAAUAUGGCCUUAAACAUUGUUUUAAAUAUUAGACAAUAUUGGUCUAUAUUUGGCUUUUAUAUCAUUAUGUGAAAAUAUAGUAUCUGUUAUAUUGGGUUUACCUUUGCAGUUCUGCGGUCUGUCAGAUAUUUUUGUACUAAAAGGAUAUACAUUGAAACCAAGUGUUCAUUGUGACAAAUGUUAUAUUAAUAUAAUAAAAAUUAAAUAAUAUAUGAAGAAAGAAAACUAAUACUUGUUUUGCCAAACUAUUGUUUAGACAACUUUGUCACCACAUUGUAAAGUUUACAAUAUGCUUAAUAUUCCUAAAACAUUUAUUUAGUUAAAGGUCUCUCAUAACCUUUCAAUGGUUUUCUAUUCUCUACAAAGAUAAAUUUACUAUUCUCCACUAUCGAGCCUUAAUUUGCCCAUUUGUACAUAUCUCUCACUGUGUAGAGUUAUAUCACCCCUUGGGAUUUUCUGUGUUAAAAUAAAUUAUAAAUAUUCCCUCUGAUUAUUUCUGUAAAAGAGUAAUUUUCAUAUUUUGCUCAGUGGAACCACAGGCCUCCAUGUUUUUGCUGCAAGGAUUCAUUAAAAAACAUAAUACUUGCCACCAAACUGUCUAAAAG